GAUGAACGCUGGCGGCGUGCCUAACACAUGCAAGUCGAGCGUGAUUUAUGAGGACGAAACUUCGGUCUAGGAAUCAUAAUGAAAGCGGCGGACGGGUGAGUAACGCGUAGGCAACCUGCCCUUAACACAGGGAUAGCCUCGGGAAACCGGGAUUAAAACCUGAUGAUGCCAAAGAGUCACAUGGCUCGUUGGCCAGAGAUUUAUCGGUUAAGGAUGGGCCCGCGUCUGAUUAGUUUGUUGGUGGGGUAACGGCCUACCAAGACUACGAUCAGUGGCCGACCUGAGAGGGUGAUCGGCCACAUUGGAACUGAGACACGGUCCAAACUCCUACGGGAGGCAGCAGUGGGGAAUAUUGCACAAUGGGCGAAAGCCUGAUGCAGCAACGCCGCGUGAGCGAUGAAGGCCUUUGGGUCGUAAAGCUCUGUCCUUGGGGAAGAAACAAAUGACGGUACCCAAGGAGGAAGCCCCGGCUAACUACGUGCCAGCCGCCGCCGUAACAC
rnacentral:rRNA from 1 species